AAAAGUCCACCUUAAAAUAAGUCUGUUCGGUAUAAACCCUCAAUACUUGGUUGGGACUCCUUCUGCAUGAAUUACUGCAUUAAUGCGGCGUGGCAUGGAGGCGACCAGCCUGUGGCACUGCUGAGGUGUUAUAGAAGCCCAGGUUGAUUUGAUAGCGGCCUUCAGCUUGACUACAUUGUU